rnacentral:tRNA from 3 species
GGUUCUUUAGCUCAGUUGGUUAGAGCGCUCGCUUCACACGUGAGAGGUCGCUGGUUCGAGUCCAGUAAGAACCA